GCACUGCUGAGGAGUCCCACAAUAAGACGAAACUGCAGUCCAUUGC
rfam:Schistosoma mattheei strain Denwood, Zambia genome assembly, scaffold: SMTD_scaffold0002721